GAUGAACGCUAGCGGCAGGCCUAAUACAUGCAAAUCGGACGGGAUUUGGGAGCUUGCUCCCAAUGAGAGUGGCGCACGGGUGCGUAACACGUAUGUAACCUACCUUAAUCAGGGGGAUAGCCUCUCGAAAGAGAGAUUAACACCGCAUAACAUAUUUUUAUGGCAUCGUAGAAAUAUCAAAUAUUUAUAGGAUUAAGCUGGGCAUGCGGAACAUUAGCUAGUUGGUAAGGUAACGGCUUACCAAGGCUACGAUGUUUAGGGGAUCUGAGAGGAUGACCCCCCACACUGGUACUGAGACACGGACCAGACUCCUACGGGAGGCAGCAGUAAGGAAUAUUGGUCAAUGGGCGCAAGCCUGAACCAGCCAUGCCGCGUGCAGGAAGACGGCCCUAUGGGUUGUAAACUGCUUUUGUACCGGAAUAAACCCUUUUACGUGUAAAAGGCUGAAUGUACGGUAAGAAUAAGGAUCAGCUAACUCCGUGCCAGCCGCCGCGGUAA
rnacentral:rRNA from 1 species